rnacentral:rRNA from 1 species
UACGGGAGGCAGCAGUGGGGAAUAUUGCACAAUGGGCGCAAGCCUGAUGCAGCCAUGCCGCGUGUAUGAAGAAGGCCUUCGGGUUGUAAAGUACUUUCAGUCGUGAGGAAGGUGUUAAGGUUAAUAACCUUAGCAAUUGACGUUAGCGACAGAAGAAGCACCGGCUAACUCCGUGCCAGCAGCCGCGGUAAUACGGAGGGUGCGAGCAUUAAUCGGAAUUACUGGGCGUAAAGGGCACGCAGGCGGUUAAUUAAGUUGGAUGUGAAAUCCCCGGGCUUAACCUGGGAAUGGCAUUCAAGACUGGUUAGCUAGAGUCUUGUAGAGGGGGUAGAAUUCCAUGUGUAGCGGUGAAAUGCGUAGAGAUGUGGAGGAAUACCGGGUGGCGAAGGCGGCCCCUGGGACAAAGACUGACGCUCAUGUGCGAAAGCGUGGGGAGCAAACAGGAUUAGAUACC